rnacentral:rRNA from 1 species
CCCUGCCAUUUGUACACACCGCCCGUCGCUACUACCGAUUGAAUGGAUUAGUGAGCUUCAAGGAUUGAAUUAUUAUUGGUUCGCCAUGUAUGAUUUGAGAAUUGAAUCAAACUUGCUCAUUUAGAGGAAGUAAAAGUCGUAACAAGGUCUCC